rnacentral:hammerhead_ribozyme from 1 species
AUCCUGCUGACGAGUUCCAAAUAGGACGAGAGGUAUGUCCUUGAU